GAAUUAAGUCAGGAGGUGUUAAGCUGGGCACGGGUUCCCACGGCACAGGGCCUGCCCCAGCACGCUCAGCCCGUGACCUGCAGACACAGAUAAAUAUUUGAUGGAGAAGGAUGUCAAGUGGCGUUCGGGAUCUCGCUCGAUUUGAAAGUCUAGUGCAACAGGGACUGAAGCAGGACACCCCUGCUGCCCAUUGCCUGCAGCAAUGCCAGGGGCUGCUUGGCAGCUCUGCCUGGGAGGGAGGAGGCUGGCAGCUCUGCCUGCGGUGCCCCCCUGCCUGCCCUGCCCACACCAGCCUGGUGGGCCAUCAAGACACACAGAGCUGCGGCCUCUCCUUGACCCUCACUGGGACAGGGUCCUCGACGUUAUCUCCAAUUUACACCGGGGAAAGCUCGAGUCCUCCCUCCCAGCAUCCUCCAUCUAUUCCAUUAAAGGAGGGCUCCCGAAAGCUGGGUGUCUUUGUGGCGUCUGCCAGCUCCACCGCCAGCGCCGGGGAUGCUGGCUCAAGCCUGCAGCAAGGCACACGCAGGACGGCGGCUGCUGCUCCUCCUCCUCCUCUCCUGCAGCCCUCGGCACCCAGGGUUUGCAGCUGGGCCCCGCCGGCACGCCGAGGGCAGCGUGUUACACAGGCCAGGGGAUGUGAUCGGUCGGAACUGGGACUGCCCUGGCUGUGGGAGCUCCUGGAUUCUUGUCAUUUUAAAGAGCUUGUUGCAGAAGGAAAAUGGGAUAUUUCUCUCAGACAAGAUUUUGUGAAAGAACGGGGCUGGGUUAUUAGCAUUGUGCAUCAUGUGUGUUUCUGGCAAUAAAGGUUGAGCCAAAUUUGACAGGGAGAGCGCUCUGAUCUCAAAGACAGUAACAUCCUUCAAGUUGCCUUGACAUAGGGUGGCCAUCUGGGGGAAACCAGGCCUCACUAGCUAGGAGAUCUAAACCGAAAUAGCUGCCCUGGCUCCUGAAGACACACUGGGGCAACACAGGGAGCCCCAUGGUGGGAAGUGGGCAAGAUGAGGGCAGUGACUGAGUACAUCCAGUUUCAGCUGGGCAAAAACCUCAGCGUCCCUCAUGUAAGAACGUGUGUCUCUGGUGUCAAAAAUGACCUGGUCUUUAAACCAGGAAAGGCUCUUUGUGUUUCACUCAGAAUAUUCUUCAGCCCCCCAUUGCUGUAUCUGUGUCCCCCAUGUCAAAGCCUGCCCCAUAGCUCCUGCCAGCACUGCCCCGGGCAUCGCGCUGGUGCUG